AGGGUGAGUCGACCCCUAAGGCGAGGCCGAAAGGCGUAGUCGAUGGGAAACGGGUUAAUAUUCCCGUACUUGGUGUUACUGCGAAGGGGGGACGGAGAAGGCUAUGUUGGCCGGGCGACGGUUGUCCCGGUUUAAGCGUGUAGGUGUGUGUUCCAGGUAAAUCCGGUUCACUUUAACACUGAGGCGUGACGACGAGGCACUACGGUGCUGAAGCAACAAAUGCCCUGCUUCCAGGAAAAGCCUCUAAGCAUCAGGUAACAUCAAAUCGUACCCCAAACCGACACAGGUGGUCAGGUAGAGAAUACCAAGGCGCUUGAGAGAACUCGGGUGAAGGAACUAGGCAAAAUGGUGCCGUAACUUCGGGAGAAGGCACGCUGACACGUAGGUGAAGUGAUUUACUCAUGGAGCUGAAGUCAGUCGAAGAUACCAGCUGGCUGCAACUGUUUAUUAAAAACACAGCACUGUGCAAACACGAAAGUGGACGUAUACGGUGUGACGCCUGCCCGGUGCCGGAAGGUUAAUUGAUGGGGUCAGCGCAAGCGAAGCUCCUGAUCGAAGCCCCGGUAAACGGCGGCCGUAACUAUAACGGUCCUAAGGUAGCGAAAUUCCUUGUCGGGUAAGUUCCGACCUGCACGAAUGGCGUAAUGAUGGCCAGGCUGUCUCCACCCGAGACUCAGUGAAAUUGAACUCGCUGUGAAGAUGCAGUGUACCCGCGGCAAGACGGAAAGACCCCGUGAACCUUUACUAUAGCUUGACACUGAACAUUGAGCCUUGAUGUGUAGGAUAGGUGGGAGGCUUUGAAGUGUGGACGCCAGUCUGCAUGGAGCCGACCUUGAAAUACCACCCUUUAAUGUUUGAUGUUCUAACGUGGACCCGUUACCCGGGUUGCGGACAGUGUCUGGUGGGUAGUUUGACUGGGGCGGUCUCCUCCUAAAGAGUAACGGAGGAGCACGAAGGUUGGCUAAUCCUGGUCGGACAUCAGGAGGUUAGUGCAAUGGCAUAAGCCAGCUUGACUGCGAGCGUGACGGCGCGAGCAGGUGCGAAAGCAGGUCAUAGUGAUCCGGUGGUUCUGAAUGGAAGGGCCAUCGCUCAACGGAUAAAAGGUACUCCGGGGAUAACAGGCUGAUACCGCCCAAGAGUUCAUAUCGACGGCGGUGUUUGGCACCUCGAUGUCGGCUCAUCACAUCCUGGGGCUGAAGUAGGUCCCAAGGGUAUGGCUGUUCGCCAUUUAAAGUGGUACGCGAGCUGGGUUUAGAACGUCGUGAGACAGUUCGGUCCCUAUCUGCCGUGGGCGCUGGAGAACUGAGGGGGGCUGCUCCUAGUACGAGAGGACCGGAGUGGACGCAUCACUGGUGUUCGGGUUGUCAUGCCAAUGGCACUGCCCGGUAGCUAAAUGCGGAAGAGAUAAGUGCUGAAAGCAUCUAAGCACGAAACUUGCCCCGAGAUGAGUUCUCCCUGAG
rnacentral:rRNA from 1 species